UCAGUCACAACAACACCUCCCAGUCUCUUCUUCUACAUCCAGAACUUGUGAACCUAAACGAUGAGAGUUCUAGAAUGUGUGUUCCUCCUAGCUGUCAUCUCUGCUGUUCAGGGACAGUCACUCACCUCCUCUGAAUCAGUGGUGAAGAGACCUGGAGAGCCAGUAACACUGUCCUGUACUGUGUCUGGAUUCUCCAUGGGAAGCUACUGGAUGCACUGGAUCCGUCAGAAACCAGGAAAAGGACUAGAGUGGAUUGGACGGAUUGAUACUGGCACUGGCACUAUAUUUGCCCAGUCAUUGCAAGGCCAGUUCAGUAUCACCAAAGACAACUCCAAAAACCAGCUGAACUUAGAAGUGAAAAGCCUGAAAGCUGAAGACUCUGCUGUUUAUUAUUGUGCCAGAGACACAGUGACACAGAAGACUGCAGCACAUUACAAAAACUGAUCAACCCUGAUCUCAGUGAGGCAACGAUGCAUCUGUGUAAUUUUAUUCACAAGCACACGUUGGCACACUGAU